rnacentral:rRNA from 1 species
GCCCGAACCCACGCACGUUGAAAAGUGCGGGGAUGAGGUGUGGGUAGGGGUGAAAUGCCAAUCGAACCUGGAGAUAGCUGGUUCUCUCCGAAAUAGCUUUAGGGCUAGCCUCAAGGUAAGAGUCUUGGAGGUAGAGCACUGAUUGGACUAGGGGCCCCUACCGGGUUACCGAAUUCAGUCAAACUCCGAAUGCCAAUGACUUAUCCUUG